rnacentral:rRNA from 1 species
GACGAACGCUGGCGGCGUGCUUAACACAUGCAAGUCGAACGGUGAAGCCUUCGGGUGGAUCAGUGGCGAACGGGUGAGUAACACGUGAGCAAUCUGCCCUUGACUCUGGGAUAACUUCGGGAAACCGGAGCUAAUACCGGAUAUGACAUCUGGCCGCAUGGUCUGGGUGUGGAAAGAUUUAUCGGUCAAGGAUGAGCUCGCGGCCUAUCAGCUUGUUGGUGGGGAAUGGCCACCAAGGCGACGACGGGUAGCCGGCCUGAGAGGGCGACCGGCCACACUGGGACUGAGACACGGCCCAGACUCCUACGGGAGGCAGCAGUGGGGAAUAUUGCGCAAUGGGCGGAAGCCUGACGCAGCGACGCCGCGUGAGGGAUG